rnacentral:rRNA from 1 species
UUUCGACACACUAUCAUUAACUGAAUCCAUAGGUUAAUGAGGCGAACCGGGGGAACUGAAACAUCUAAGUACCCCGAGGAAAAGAAAUCAACCGAGAUUCCCCCAGUAGCGGCGAGCGAACGGGGAGGAGCCCAGAGCCUGAAUCAGUGUGUGUGUUAGUGGAAGCGUCUGGAAAGGCGCGCGAUACAGGGUGACAGCCCCGUACACAAAAAUGCACAUAUUGUGAGCUCGAUGAGUAGGGCGGGACACGUGGUA